AGAGUUUGAUCAUGGCUCAGGAUGAACGCUAGCUACAGGCUUAACACAUGCAAGUCGAGGGGAAACGACAUCGAAAGCUUGCUUUUGAUGGGCGUCGACCGGCGCACGGGUGAGUAACGCGUAUCCAACCUGCCCACCACUUGGGGAUAACCUUGCGAAAGUAAGACUAAUACCCAAUGAUAUCUCUAGAAGACAUCUGAAAGAGAUUAAAGAUUUAUCGGUGAUGGAUGGGGAUGCGUCUGAUUAGCUUGUUGGCGGGGUAACGGCCCACCAAGGCAACGAUCAGUAGGGGUUCUGAGAGGAACGGUCCCCCACAUUGGAACUGAGACACGGUCCAACUUCUACGGGAGGCAGGA
rnacentral:rRNA from 1 species